CAAUGACAUACAGACGUUAGAGUACGCGUCUGGGGGGCGUGUGGUCGCUGGUUCGAAUCCAGUCACCC
rnacentral:tRNA from 1 species